AUUGAACGCUGGCGGCAGGCCUAACACAUGCAAGUCGAACGAGUGGCGGACGGGUGAGUAAUGUCUGGGAAACUGCCUGAUGGAGGGGGAUAACUACUGGAAACGGUAGAUAAUACCGCAUACCAUCGGAUGUGCCCAGAUGGGAUGAGCUAGUAGGUGGGGUAAGGGCUCACCUAGGCGACGAUCCCUAGCUGGUCUGAGAGGAUGACCAGCCCAACUGGACCUGAGACACGGUCCAGACUCCUACGGGAGGCAGCAGUGGGGAAUAUUGCACAAUGGGCGCAAGCCUGAUGCAGCCAUGCCGCGUGUAUGAAGAAGGCCUUCGGGUUGUAAAGUACUUUCAGCGAGGAGGCGUUACCCGCAGAAGAAGCACCGGCUAACUCCGUGCCAGCAGCCGCGGUAAUAC
rnacentral:rRNA from 1 species